rnacentral:tRNA from 1 species
GGGGGAUUAGCUCAGCUGGUUCAGAGCAUCUGCCUUACAAGCAGAGGGUCGUAGGUUCGAACCCUACAUCCCCCACCA